rnacentral:rRNA from 1 species
GACGAACGCUGGCGGCGUGCUUAACACAUGCAAGUCGAACGGAAAGGCCCUGCUUUUGUGGUGUGCUCGAGUGGCGAACGGGUGAGUAACACGUGAGUAACCUGCCCUUGACUUUGGGAUAACUUCAGGAAACUGGGGCUAAUACCGGAUAGGAGCUCCUGCUGCAUGGUGGGGGUUGGAAAGUUUCGGCGGUUGGGGAUGGACUCGCGGCUUAUCAGCUUGUUGGUUGGGUAGUGGCUUACCAAGGCUUUGACGGGUAGCCGGCCUGAGAGGGUGACCGGCCACAUUGGGACUGAGAUACGGCCCAGACUCCUACGGGAGGCAGCAGUGGGGAAUAUUGCACAAUGGGCGGAAGCCUGAUGCAGCAACGCCGCGUGCGGGAUGACGGCCUUCGGGUUGUAAACCGCUUUCGCCUGUGACGAAGCGUGAGUGACGGUAAUGGGUAAAGAAGCACCGGCUAACUACGUG